rnacentral:misc_RNA from 1 species
GAUGAAGAACGUAGCGAAAUGCGAUACUUGGUGUGAAUUGCAGAAUCCCGUGAACCAUCGAGUCUUUGAACGCAAGUUGCGCCCGAAGCCAUCAGGUUGAGGGCACGUCUGCCUGGGCGUCACAUAUCGUUGCCCAAUGCCUAUUGCAGUGCAAUAGGAAUUUCUAGGGCGAAUGAUGGCUUCCCGUGAGCGUUGUUGCCUCGCGGUUGGUUGAAAAUCGAGUCCUUGGUAGGGUGUGCCAUGGUAGAUGGUGGGCGAGUUAGAACGAUACCGAUCAUGUGCAUGGUCCCCAAAAUAUGGCCUCUAUGACCCACACGCGUCUUUUGACGCUCAUGACGAGACCUCAGGUCAGGCGGGGCUACCCGCUGAAUUUAAGCAUAUCAAUAAGCGGAGGA